rnacentral:tRNA from 2 species
GCCCCUGUAGCUCAGUGGAUAGAGCAACGGUUUCCUAAACCGCAGGUCGCAGGUUCGAGUCCUGCCGGGGGCG